rnacentral:rRNA from 1 species
GAUGAACGCUGGCGGCGUGCCUAAUACAUGCAAGUCGAGCGAACAGAUGAGGAGCUUGCUCCUCUGACGUUAGCGGCGGACGGGUGGGUAACACGUGGAUAACCUACCUAUAAGACUGGGAUAACUUCGGGAAACCGGAGCUAAUACCGGAUAAUAUAUUGAACCGCAUGGUUCAAUAGUGAAAGACGGUUUUGCUGUCACUUAUAGAUGGAUCCGCGCCGCAUUAGCUAGUUGGUAAGGUAACGGCUUACCAAGGCAACGAUGCGUAGCCGACCUGAGAGGGUGAUCGGCCACACUGGAACUGAGACACGGUCCAGACUCCUACGGGAGGCAGCAGUAGGGAAUCUUCCGCAAUGGGCGAAAGCCUGACGGAGCAACGCCGCGUGGGUGAUGAAGGUCUUCGGAUCGUAAAACUCUGUUAUUAGGGAAGAACAAAUGUGUAAGUAACUAUGCACGUCUUGACGGUACCUAAUCAGAAAGCCACGGCUAACUACGUG